AGAGAGGUCUGGACCGCAUCAGCCUCAACGCCUCGAGCGUAGGAACGGCGCUGCGCCGUUCUGGUUGAAAUGCUGGACACUCUCCGCAAGGUAGCCUGUUCUUGGCUCUCUCCCUCCCGAGCACUACGGUCGGGGCGGGAAGCGGAACCAACGACGCAACCGCCGUUUUCCCACCCCGACCGUAGUGCUCGGGAGGGGAGAGCCGGUGAGGCUACCGUGCCCCAGGUGAGCUG
rnacentral:misc_RNA from 1 species